ensembl:lncRNA
AUGUGUAAACUCUCUCCAGUGAUGUCGGGCGUUCCUCAGCUGAGCGCCAGUGACAUCACAGAGACCUCCGUCCUUCUGCUCUGGACUCCACCCGGCCUCCAGUAUGAGACGUACUACGUCACCUUCAGCAGCCAGAAGGACACUGAGCAGCAGAUCAGCGUGCAGGUGGACGGCGGCCUGACCACCUACAGCCAGACGGGCCUGGCAGCCGGUCAGGAUUACACCGCCACCGUCGCCGGGGAGAUCGGCGGGCAGAGGGGAGCCGAGAGCUCCGUGACCUUCACGACCCUCACGCCGGGUCCCACCAACCUCCGAGUCGUCAAGACGACCUCCACCUCCGCGGUGGUCCAAUGGGAGCGGUCGCAGGGUGAGAUCGACAGGUACCACGUGAUCGUCACGCCCAACGACGGAGCGGGGAGCAGUCAGGAGGUGACGGUCCCGGCUGGACAAGACUCCGCCCACAUCCGGCAGCUGGAGGCGGGGCGUUUGUACGACGUGGUAGUGGUGGCGGAGAAGGGGGCGAGUCGGAGCAAACCAGCGACCAGUCAGGUUACUCCAGGUGAGCUGGAACGUUGACGCCAGGGAAUGAUCUCAUGGUAGCUCACAAGUCGUCCAUUGUCGUCCUGUCUGCUGUUACCCAACAACCGCCAAGUCAAAUUCCUUGUAUGUCUGACAUAUUAUGCAAUUAAUUAUGCAAUAAAUGUUUCCUGAUUCCUGAAGAGGUCACAGUUUAUUGUGAAAUUAAAUUAACAGGGUUAUGAAAACCUUUCAGACAGUUGUCUCUGCGUUCAGUGUGGAUUAAUCCGCUGCAGAAAAUAGUCCCCAACAAAUGCAGCGCUUCCAUUGUUCUGUUGAAAAAAACACAGCGGUUCUGUAGUACAAAAUAUGUAUUUGUGUUUUUCAAGAUUUACGUCUUCAGUUGAAACCAAUGGACCCGGAGCUGAGACGAACUAACGUGUUGUGGACAAAGUAGAAUAACAACAGACUUGUCCUUUAAGUUUUUAGUUUGGUGCAACACUCACACUACUUUGCACAUAAUCAGCAACUCAAACUUGUUCCUCCUGAUUUCAUCUACAUGAGACUACAUUCAGCAUCCAGACACCAAAUUAUUCCAACGAACAAACAAAAAAAACAUACUCCAACAUUUCUCAAGGAGUUUGCCUCAACCGUCCAUGAGCAAAUAAUAAUUGUAAUAUUCCUCUAAGUGCUCUGUUUCCUCUGUCCGUGUUUAACGUUGUUCAUAUAUACAUUUCCUCCUUGCAGGUUCGACUGCGCUGAGUUGUUUGUUUUUCACUAUUAAUCAAUUUCCCUUAAAGGUAUCGUAAAGAACAUUAAAACUGCUUUUCUCCCUUUAUUAGAUGUGAGCUCCUCUGGAUUAUUAGCAGCAGUAGCAUAGGAC